GUUCAAUCUGCAGAUCAAUUUUGGGAGAAUCACUAUCUUUUUUAUUUAAUAUUUUCUUAGUUGUCAGUGGACUUUAUUUAUUUUUAUGUAGUGCUGAGAAUCGAACCCAGUGCCUCACACAUGCUAGGCAAGUGCUCUACCACUGAGCCACAACUCCAACCCAUAGAAUCACUAUCCUGAGUCUGUUUUCUGUUGGUAUAAGAGAAUAACAUGAGCCCUCAUGAGUGCAAUUAGCACCCUUACCAAAGAAACCCAAGAGAAACCCUUCAUGCUUCCACUCUCUAGGACACACCAAGAAGGCAUCACCUGUGAGGAAGCAGGCCUUCAUCAGACAUGAAUCUGCCAACACCUUGAUUUUGGACCUUCCAGUCUCCAGAACUGUGAGAAAUGAAUUACUGUUGUUGAUACCCCAAAGAGUUUGUGGUAUUUUGUUACAGUAGCCCAAACAGACUAAGACAAUGUCCUUUAUUAGGUUGAGGACCUUUUUCUCCAUUCCAACUUUGUUGAGUAUUUUUAUCAUGAAGAGGAUGUUGGAUAUUGUUAAAUGUGUUUUCUGUGUCUUUGAGUUAAUCAAGUUGAUUUUCUCUUUAUUCUGUUCAUGUGGUGUGUUACAUUGAUUUUUGCAUGUUAAUCCAAAUUUGCAUUCUUGGGUCUCCACUUGUUAUUCAUCGUAUAUAGUCUGUUUUGUGUUGCUAUAAGAAAUACUAGAGGCUGGGGACUUUUUUAUAAAGAGGUUUAUCUGAGUUUGGUAAAUCUGGUGGCUGGAGUGUCUAAACAGUAUGGUGCUGGCAUCCUGGCAAGGGCCUUCUGGCUGUCUCAUACAGUGGUGGAGAAACAGCAAGAAAUGGAAGGAAGUGAUGACACUAUGAGGUAGGAAACUAGAGGGAUUCAGGGAUCAGGCUUGCUGUUUUUAAAACAAUGUAUUUUCCUCUUGGGUCCUUUGAGAACUACAUUAAUCUCUUCUGACUUUAGCACCCCCAGUGACCUAACCACCUUCCACAGGUCCUAGCUCUCCCAACUCAACACCACCACACUAGGGACCAAGCUUCCCAGCACAUGAAAAUGAGACAAACGAUGUCCAAAUCAUAACACAUAGUAUAUAAACUUUAUUUGUUGUUUGAUUCAGUUUUGUGAGGAUUUUGUGCCUCUUAUUUUUUGUGUUUUUCUUGCUAUAAGUACUUUUAUUUUAAAUUUUUACUCUUUUCCUUUCAUUUAUCAGAGAUUGAACCCAGGGGUGCUUAAACACUAAGCCACAUCCCCAGCUCUUUUUUAUGUUUUUAUUUAGAGACAGGGUCUUGCUUAAGUUGUUUAGGGUCUCAAUAAGUUGCUGAGGGCUGGCUUUGAUCUUCAAUCCUCCUGCCUCAGCCUCCCAAGAUGCUGGGGGAUUACAGGCAUGCGCCACUACACUCAGCUUAAAUUUUACUUUUUAAUUACUUGCAAUUAACACAUAGAAAUAUAAUUUAUGUUUUAUAUUUGCAUCCAGUGAUCAUGCUAAAUUUAUUCAAAUAAUUUUAGAAUUCUUUUGGUUUUUCUGCAUAUACAAACCAUGUCAUCUGCAAAUAUUUCUAUACAUCAUCUUUUUCAACCUCUACAUUUUUCCUUUCUCCUAUCUUACUGCACUGGUUUGGGCCUCCAGUAUAAUCUCGAAUAUAAGUAGUUAUAGAAGAUACCCUUGUUUCAUUCCCUUGAGUAACCCAUCAAGUAUGUUACCUGAAGGUUAUUUUAAAAUGCUCUUUAUUAGGUUGAGUCAAUUUCCUUCUACACUACUUUUAUUGAGAGUUUUUAUGAUGAUAAAUACUGGAUUUUUCAAAUGUACUGCUGUCAAGUAUGACAUGAUCAUACUUUCCUCCUUUAUUUUGUUAAAGUGGUAAAUUACAUUGGUUUUUGAAUGUUAAACAAUUUUACAUUCCUGGAGUAAACUCCACUUGGUCAGCACUUAUUUUAUUACUUGCUGAAUUUGGUUAGCUCUAUUGUUUAAGAUUUUACAUCUAUGAGAGAGAUUAGCCUGAAAUGUCCAAGGUUAGUUUAAAGACAUUUUUGGCAUCAUAAAGUUGGUUUUUCUGUUUGUAAAAAUUUGUAUUUGGUAUUUUUAAUUCCCUCAAACAUUUGGAAGAAUUAAUGAAUGAAAAUACGUAGGCCUGCUUGAAUCAUAGAGGUUAAUUUUUUUAAAGUAAUUUUUUUGUAGUAAAGUGAUAUGCUGUGUAUGUGUGUUGCUAGAGAUCAAACCUAAGGAUCUUGCACGUGCUGGGUAAGUGCUCUGCCACUGGGCCUCAUCUCCAGCCCUGGUCGUCUGUUUUUAUGCCUAUCUUACUUUCCUGCAGUCACAUUCUUUAUGUGUGUGUUGGAGGGGAAGGGACAGGCAGCCUAGGGAUUUAACCCAGAGGCACUUUACCACUGAGCUACAUCCUCAGCACUUUUUAUUUUUUCAUUUGAGACAGGGUGUCACUAUGUUGUUUAUGACCUGAGUUACUGAAGCUGGCCUUGAACUUGUCACCCUCCUGUCUCAGCCUCCCAAGCUGUGGGGAUUACACAUGUGUGCCACUCUGCUAGCUCGCAAUCACCUUCUGCCCGGAGAGGUGAAAAAUGAACUCACCUUUCUAUGCCUCCUUAAUAACAAAGUUGAACUAAGUAACAUUGUCACUGAUCAUCCUUCCAGGAGUUGUUUUAAACCUUGCUUCUAUCCAGUGAUCUCUACCCUCAGUUUAAGUAAUAUGGAUUUAAAAAUAAUACUAAAGUUUGUUCUCAU
rnacentral:lncRNA from 1 species